AGCAGCCGCGGUAAUUCCAGCUCCAAUAGCGUAUAUUAAAGUUGUUGCAGUUAAAAAGCUCGUAGUUGAAUUUUGGGUUUGGCCGAUUGGUCCGUUCUUGUAACGAGUACUGGUCGGUUGGGCCUCACCGCUUGGUGAUGCGUAAUGCCCUUUAUUGGGUGUUGCGAGUAGCCAAGACCUUUACCUUGAAAAAAUUAGAGUGUUUAAAGCAGGCUUAUGCCGGAAUACAUUAGCAUGGAAUAAUAGAAUAGGACAAUGAUUCUAUUUUGUUGGUUUCUAGGACCAUUGUAAUGAUUAAUAGGGAUAGUUGGGGGCAUUAGUAUUCAAUUGUCAGAGGUGAAAUUCUUGGAUUUAUUGAAGACUAACUACUGCGAAAGCAUUUGCCAAGGAUGUUUCAUUAAUCAAGAACGAAAGUUAGGGGGAUCGAAGACGAUCAGAUACCGUCGUAGUCUUAACCAUAAACUAUGCCGACUAGGGAUCGGAUGAUGUUAAUUUUUAAUGACUCAUUCGGCGCCUUACG
rnacentral:rRNA from 1 species